UACGUAGGGUGCGAGCGUUAAUCGGAAUUACUGGGCGUAAAGCGUGCGCAGGCGGUUUUGUAAGCCGGAUGUGAAAUCCCCGGGCUCAACCUGGGAAUGGCAUUCGGGACUGCAAGGCUGGAGUGCGGCAGAGGAGUCUGGAAUUCCUGGUGUAGCAGUGAAAUGCGUAGAUAUCGUGAGGAACACCAGAGGCGAAGGCGGUUACCUGGACAGUUACUGACGCUCAGGCACGAAAGCAUGGGGAGCAAAAGGG
rnacentral:rRNA from 1 species